rnacentral:rRNA from 1 species
CCUACGGGGGACAGCAGUGAGGAAUAUUGGUCAAUGGACGAGAGUCUGAACCAGCCAAGUAGCGUGAAGGAUGACUGCCCUAUGGGUUGUAAACUUCUUUUAUAUGGGAAUAAAAUGUUCCACGUGUGGGAUUUUGUAUGUACCAUAUGAAUAAGGAUCGGCUAACUCCGUGCCAGCAGCCGCGGUAAUACGGAGGAUCCGAGCGUUAUCCGGAUUUAUUGGGUUUAAAGGGAGCGUAGGUGGAUUGUUAAGUCAGUUGUGAAAGUUUGCGGCUCAACCGUAAAAUUGCAGUUGAAACUGGCAGUCUUGAGUACAGUAGAGGUGGGCGGAAUUCGUGGUGUAGCGGUGAAAUGCUUAGAUAUCACGAAGAACUCCGAUUGCGAAGGCAGUUCACUGGACUGAACUGACACUGAGGCUCGAAAGUGUGGGUAUCAAACAGGAUUAGAUACCCGAGUAGUC